AUUGAACGCUGGCGGCAGGCCUAACACAUGCAAGUCGAGCGGAUGAAGGGAGCUUGCUCCUGGAUUCAGCGGCGGACGGGUGAGUAAUGCCUAGGAAUCUGCCUGGUAGUUGGGGAUAACGUCCGGAAACGGGCGCUAAUACCGCAUACGUCCUGAGGGAGAAAGUGGGGGAUCUUCGGACCUCACGCUAUCAGAUGAGCCUAGGUCGGAUUAGCUAGUUGGUUGGGUAAAGGCCUACCAAGGCGACGAUCCGUAACUGGUCUGAGAGGAUGAUCAGUCACACUGGAACUGAGACACGGUCCAGACUCCUACGGGAGGCAGCAGUGGGGAAUAUUGGACAAUGGGCGAAAGCCUGAUCCAGCCAUGCCGCGUGUGUGAAGAAGGUCUUCGGAUUGUAAAGCACUUUAAGUUGGGAGGAAGGGCAGUAAGUUAAUACCUUGCUGUUUUGACGUUACCAACAGAAUAAGCACCGGCUAACUUCGUG
rnacentral:rRNA from 1 species